AGUUCCUGUCCUUAAGAAGCUUACAAUCUAAACAAACAAAUAUGUAGAAAGCAAAGACUAACAGUAUUAGAUAGUUUAGAUUGUGAGCUUUUUGAGGUCAGGGGCU
rnacentral:pre_miRNA from 1 species